rnacentral:rRNA from 1 species
GACGAACGCUGGCGGCGUGCUUAACACAUGCAAGUCGAACGGUAAGGCCCUUCGGGGUACACGAGUGGCGAACGGGUGAGUAACACGUGGGUGAUCUGCCCUGCACUUCGGGAUAAGCCUGGGAAACUGGGUCUAAUACCGGAUAGGACCACUGCCUGCAUGGGUGGUGGUGGAAAGCUUUUGCGGUGUGAGAUGGGCCCGCGGCCUAUCAGCUUGUUGGUGGGGUGAUGGCCCACCAAGGCGACGACGGGUAGCCGGCCUGAGAGGGUGACCGGCAACACUGGGACUGAGAUACGUCCCAGAAUCCUACGGGAGGCAGCAGUGGGGAAUAUUGCACAAGGGGCGCAAGCCUGAUGCAGCGACGCCGCGUGAGGGAUGACGGCCUUCGGGUUGUAAACCUCUUUCAGCACCGACGAAGCGCAAGUGACGGUAGGUGCAGAAGAAGGACCGGCCAACUACGUGCCAGCAGCCGCCGUAA